AUACAGAACGCGAACCGCAGCACGAGCGAGUGGACGGCGAGAGCCAGGUCACACCCGCUGUACGGGGCAAAUGGAGCAGCUGAGAAAGCAGUGCAGCAGGCAAAAUGGUGCCUGAAGCAGCGUGACCCACAUCUCGCACUGAUGGCCUACAGGACUACUCCAGUCGAGCCCACGGGUCUGGCACCGGCGCAGCUCCUGAUGGGGCGCACGCUGCAAACUCGUCUCCCGAGCCCGCCGAGUCCGAUGGUCACACAGCCGGAGGCCCGCAGUCGGAGGAUCUGGACAGAGGGGAUCGGUGGACCAGCCAGGGGGCGGCCGCAUCACAGCCAGGCGACUCACUGAGCAGACAACGGCAGCAGACCGGCGAGGGCGCAGCUGGGCUGCAACCAGACGCGUCACUCCCGCCCGCUUUGACCCAGCCUCCCGCGUCUCCAAAGAAGACCCGGAGUGGGAGGAUCUAUUGACGGACUGGGUGGAGCGCUCGCUGGGAUGAGUCGCUACUUUGUCUCUCCGCAAUGAUUCAAUGCAGGAAUUCGUGAGUGUCUUGCUGUGU